rnacentral:snoRNA from 1 species
AAACCAUGAUGAUAAGAGAAUCCGUUCCAUUUUAUUCUGAUUAUUGUAUGACGAUUAAUUCUCCCAACUGAGCUU